CUUGGACCCCCAUAAGCAAGUUAAUCUAGGGGAAAACAAACACAUGUGUGCUUAGAUGGCAAAAAAGAACCAAAUGGCCUGGCAGAUAACACGCCCGUGGUGGACAGGAAAAGUGACUUUUCCAUCCUCCUCCUAGAGAGAUUCUCUCGAUAAUUCCUGCUUCUGGCUGAUAACCUUUUGGGGUCUUCAACAGCAUCAUUUGGAAAACAGUGCCACUGAACUCAACAAAACACUCAGGAAGCACCUACUACAUGCCAGACACCCUCUUUCAUCCUGUGGAUUGCUCAGAGGGUCACCUCCACCUCCCGAGAUACAAGGGCCGCCCAGCAAACUCCCCGUAGAACCUCAAGAAGCUGCUCUCUCGAGACCUGAGGCGCAGGAACAGACACAAAGAGACCCAUUUGGACUCAGAUCCCUCAGUAAGGAAGAUGUGGCCGUGGAGAAAGAGGACCCCCUUCCAUACCCUCCCGACCUGGUAGCAGGGCCUGGGGCCAGACUGUCUCACAAGGCUGAUUCCCAACCACUGGAUGACCACCGAAGUCCUGGGGAACAAGCUUUGACCACACACUAGGGUGCAAGGAGGCUUCUUGAAGCUCAAUCUUCUCAUCUAUAAAAUGAUGAUAAAAAUAUUUAUACGCACCAGGGCUGUUACAAGGAUUAAACAAGGCGUUGCCUGCAAGACACUCCCACGAUGAUCUGAAAUUUGGAGCUCCGUAGUACAAUGACAGCCUUUCCUGUGCUGAUAUUUGUGUAGAGUGACAAUGCCACUCACCCACGUCCAUAGAACAUACCCUUGGAGUUCUUUUUCUCUCAGUGGCCAAGGAUUUGCAUGAGCCAUUUCAUCAGUUAAGACUCCUGUGGUUGCAAGUGACCGAAACUACAAUCCUGACUGGAUGACAUGAAAGAGGAAUUUGUUGGCUCAGAGGGGAGCUGUAAAGGCGGCCAAGGGUAGAGGCUAGCUUCAGGCGCAGCUGGAUCCAGGGAUGGAAGCGAUACCAUCAAGAUCAGGUUUCUCGCUCCCCCAGUCUCUCAGCUUCGUUCCCUCACUGUUGGCUCCCUCCCUUCUUCUUGUGGCAGAAAUGGCUGUAGAAGCUCCUAGCUCAUCUUCUUAGAAUCCAGGCCAGCAGGAAAGAGCCAGCCCCAACGCUCCCAGCAAAAAUCUCUCUGCAUCUCACUGCCCAUCCCUGAACCAUUAUAGUCAGAGGAAUGAGAUGCCCGGAGGGAGAAGAGCCCAGACGGCCUCCCAGCCCUGGAGCAAGGGUAGCUCUGCUCCACUCAAAGCCCAGGUCUGAGAGGAAAGAGCAGUGGUGUCCAGAGGUGAAUCACGUAUCUGGUGACUGGCAAUUGCCCACACUUGACAGCCUGGUAUCCCAAAGUGGACGUUGAUGAGUGGACUUCUUUAAUCCUAGGGAACAGAACGAACUGCAGCUGGGCUGCAAAGCCAGGCGGACUGGCUCCAACCAAAACUGAAAGCUCUCAUCUGAGGCUCCCUCAGUGCCAGCUGCUGACCGACAUGACCAGCUGACCUCAAACAGGAUCCCUUCCCUGAGCUGCAGCCUACCAGCUGCAAAUCCAGCAUCCCGGAUGGGAGGCAGACAGCCUGGAGGCUGUUCCAAAAGCCUGAUCCAUCAUUAAUCCUGUUCCACCUGCACUGUGAUUUACUACCUGUUUUAUCUUUCUUCUAAAAAGGAACUAGCCAUCAAUGCAAAGCUCCCCUGACGGGCCCCCAAAAUAAACACGAUGCGGAGCAACACCGUCAUUAAAUUGCAGCCUGUUGCUCUCACGUGCUCCAAGCUUGAAGUUUGCUGUUAAAAGGAAGGUUAGCGAGUAUCAGGAAGGCGUUAAGGAUCCACCCAGCAGCAGCUCGAGACUUGGUGAAAUUAAGACAAUUAAAACAAAUUAGAAAGGGAAUAACUUCCCAUUAGGUAAUUCUGUGGCGUUUAUUGCUUUAAAAGUGUUAUUCGCGUUCCUCGCUGACACAUGGAAAAUUCUCAUUGCCAGGGAAUGGGCUAGGCCUCCCGCUUUGCCUAAUGUUCGAUGCUGGUCAAUCUGCAACCCCAAAGGCACUCUCGAACUUUCCCCUCUCCCGGUUCCUCCGCAAGCCUGCAGCAAUGAUGGAAAAGAAGAGGAUAAGAGAGCACGAAUGAUUUUUUGAAAAAAAUAACUUUGGUAAUUAUGUAUGCAUUUCCAAUGGGAGAUUCUGGGAAUUAUUCCUAAAAGGCUGGAAAGAAUUUCUUCUUUUGAUCUCGGUUCUGAGCCAGAGAAAAUCAAAUUAAGAAAGAAAACCAACAGAGAAUUCUCAGCGGGGAGGCAGGAGCUGAAGCAGGUCCUGGGGAAGAGAGAAUGAAAAGAAAAGUCCCCAGACACCUUCGUGUCAUGAUGUUGAAGCCUAGAAGGAGGGGCGCCCAGUGGAGCCGAAUGAAAGCUGAGAGGAGAGCAAGGUCUCCUCCCACACCCUCCGGGGAGCCUUCCUUCCCUUCCCUUGAGGGGCCGGAAAAUGUUCCCCCGGUUCCUGUGACUUUUCCCAGCGCACACGUGGCCACCAGCCUCCCUCCGACAGCCCUGACUUUCAGAGGACCCCAACUCUGAGCCGUCACGACACAACCAGCCAGCGUGGGCGUGUGAGCAGUUCCUUUAUAUAUAUAUAUAUUAAAAAAAAAAAAAAUCCUCCCUUAGAGGCACCGGGAGAAAUGGUCCUGCCACUUCCCUAAAUCUUCUGUGGUUGCUAAGCAGCCCGCCUCCGCCCCUUUCCACUUCCCUCUGCUCCGAGCCUUUGUCUCUCCCCACCCUCCACCCCCACACCAGCUCUUCCCUGCCUUCCCGCCGGGGCUCAGAAAUCAGAGAACAGUCCCUGAACGCCUCCCAGCAGCGCGAUGGCACGCAGCCUCCCUCCCUGCUCUGCCGAUCGCGCUCUUACGGCCUUGCUGGAAAGACCCUCGCUGGACCCUUCCCUUCUUCCUUCCGUCCUCCCUUCCAUCCUUCCUUUCCUUCCUUCCUUUCUUUCCUUUUAUUCCUUCCUUCCUCCCUCCGUCCCUCCUUCCACCAAUAACACCAAACACUUACCAUU